UCUCUGUUCUCCUGCAUGGGCCUUUAUGGAGGGGCACAAUAAGUUUUCUCCUUAUCUCAGCAUUUUAAUAAAUGCGUUAACGUGUUAUUGUUGCGUUAACUUUGACGGCCUCCGGUACAGGCCACCAACAUGAGAGACUUCAAGAGGGUUGUGGGAAAGAAAGGAGAGAGUCACUGAGCAGGAGAACCAAGGGGAGGAUGAGAAGAA